rnacentral:misc_RNA from 1 species
AAGUCGUAACAAGGUUUCCGUAGGUGAACCUGCGGAAGGAUCAUUAGUGAAUAAUUAGCGUGUCGACCUUGAUUUUUUUCAAGGAAGAGCGUGACCUCUCCACUUUUCAAAACUCUUGUGCAUUUUUUCGGCAGUUUAUUUAGGGUUAGUAUUUUUUAAAAAGAGAUUUUAAUUUAAUUAAUUUCUCGAGAGUUUAAUCUAAAUAGACUGUGGCUCAUUCUAUAACACUACAGUUAAAAAGUAUGUUAAUUUAAAAAUUUAAAACAAAAAAAAACUUUCAACAACGGAUCUCUUGGCUCU